AAUACAGUUUUAUAAAAAUAUAUACUUUAAUUUUUUUCAAAUCUCUAAGUAGAGCAAAAUAUCGCACGGUGCACGUGAUAUAUUUUUUAGUCUUUUUUUUUUUUUUCCUACACACGCAGGAGGGCAGCAGCAAGCAGCAUCUUUCCAAGCAGGCUCCACAGGGCGGAGGGGGGAAAAAAAAAAAGUGAGAGAAUCUAAACGUGACGUCAAUGCCUAGUAACUGACGCAGCCCUUCAGCCCCCCUCAUCCUCCCCCCCCCCCUCUCAAAAAAAGAAAAACUCCUUUUUAUUUAUUUCCUUUUUUUUGCAGAGGGGUUGCUUCUAGUCUCGUCAGCAAGUCGAGCAUUAUUUGCUCGACUAGAAAGGAGAGGUUUUGUUUUUGUAGAAAAAAGAAAGGACUGUUCCACUUGUGGAGUCGCGUCGUGCCAGGAGGUGGACACGGACGCAGUCAGGUGAGGAGGAAGUACAAACCUGAAGACCACGACCAGGAGGCCGAUCUCGUCGUGCACAGGUGCAUUGUGUCCUUUGCCAUAUGUUGCAGAAAGAUCUUGAGUAUUGGGAGCAUCAUCCCCUCCCCACACACACACACACAAACACUCAGAUGACAUACAGACGUCCACCUGACACCCAGAGUAGGACGAACCACGUGUCAAGGAGGAUACUUAAAAAUAAUGUAAACCAAAUUGUAUUUGUAUUUUUUGUGUGUGUAAGAGUGUGAGUGUGUUAUAUUCUUUCCAUUUUCAUAUGUACUGUACAUUGUGUGUAAAAGUUGCAAUGUUAUAAAGAUGACGUCACGAGUAAUAUACAUUAUAAUGUGGCAUAAGUUUAUCCACUGUAUGUGUGUGUGUUGAGCUUUGGUCUCGUGCACGCGCAUCGGCUGGCACUUGUGAUGCGUUUUGCGAGCUGACGCGCACGCACGCCGGCCGUGCGAGAACAUUUUUGUAGUCUUGCAUGCUUGCAGACUACGUGACAGGUUUCACGUGACGUCGUCACAGCUCAUUUCGUGCCCAUUUUACGUUUGGUUUUUGCGCGUGCGUGCUUGCGUGUGCGUGCCAGAAGUAAUGGUAUGGCGACUGCACUUGUGUGUCUGCGUGAGUAAUGGGUGAGAAAUUGUGCAGACGAUGUGGACACGUGCAUGAACACCACGUGUAUAUAUAUAUAUAUAGGGUUUUAAAAUAACAUGUAAAAUAAAAUAUAUUGACAAACGGAC